GACGAACGCUGGCGGCGUGCCUAAUACAUGCAAGUCGAGCGCAGGAAGUCAUCCGAACCCUUCGGGGGGACGUUGACGGAAUGAGCGGCGGACGGGUGAGUAACACGUAAAGAACCUGCCCUCAGGUCUGGGAUAACCACGAGAAAUCGGGGCUAAUACCGGAUGGGUCAUCGGACCGCAUGGUCCGAGGAUGAAAGGCGCUCCGGCGUCGCCUGGGGAUGGCUUUGCGGUGCAUUUGCUAGUUGGUGGGGUAAUGGCCCACCAAGGCGACGAUGCAUAGCCGACCUGAGAGGGUGAUCGGCCACACUGGGACUGAGACACGGCCCAGACUCCUACGGGAGGCAGCAGUAGGGAAUCUUCCACAAUGGGCGAAAGUCUGAUGGAGCAACGCCGCGUGAACGAUGAAGGCCCUCGGGUCGUAAAGUUCUGUUGUAAGGGAAGAACAAGUGCCGCAGGCAAUGGCGGCACCUUGACGGUACCUUGCGAGAAAGCCACGGCUAACUACGUG
rnacentral:rRNA from 1 species